GAUGAACGCUGGCGGCGUGCCUCAAACAUGCAAGUCGAGCGGGGCUAUGUAAUACCGCAAGGUAGAACAUAGCCUAGCGGCGAACGGGUGAGUAACACGUAGGAAUCUACCCUUAAGACGGGGACAACCCAGGGAAACUUGGGCUAAUACCGGAUGAGAGUGCGAGAGAUUGCAUUUAAAAGGAUGGCGAAAGUUGUCGCUUAGGGAUGAGCCUGCGGUCUAUUAGUUAGUUGGUGAGGUAAGAGCUCACCAAGGCGAUGAUAGAUAGGCGGCCUUAACGGGUGGUCGCCCACACUGGGAUUGAGAUACGGCCCAGACUCCUACGGGAGGCAGCAGUCGAGAAUAGUCUACAAUGGCCGGAAGGCUGAUAGUGCGACGCCGCGUGAACGAGGGACGCCCUUCGGGGUGUAAAGUUCUUUUCUAUACGAGCAGUGCUAUAUAUAUGGAUAGUAUAUAUAGAGGGAUAGUAGUAUAGGAAUAAGCAACGGCUAACUCCGU
rnacentral:rRNA from 1 species